rnacentral:lncRNA from 1 species
ACGGCGCCACCGUUGACCCUGCUGUUACCAGGCGCUCACACAGCCAAUCAGCACUCGCCGCAAGCGCCGGCCGGCCUUUGAACUCCGCACAGCAACUUCCUGCUGUUUGGCGAGUACACAGUGCAAUGCAGUAUGUCUGUCAGCGCUGCGGCACAAAGGAACAGCCAUUUUGUGACUGAGCUGGACUUGCACCAAGAUGCCAGGGCCUCCGAGAACUGCUGCCUGCGCCAACUACCGAGCUGCCUUUUAUUUCAUCAUCAGAGUACUUAUGGGAACGUGGGGAAAAGGAUGUUCUGAUAUUAGGUAAAGAACAGCCUCAGUCAGGGACUAAGGAUGGCCUUGAACAUCUGCUUCCUGCCCACCCAAGAGCUACAAUUAUAGGAAGAACCAAAGUAGCAAGUUCAGACUCUAGGACCAUGGCCUGUUUUCAGUGAAUGUUCUAAGCUGUGUAUCCAUUUCAGUACAAGUACUCUCAGCCCUGAAACUGCAAUGAGAAAGCACAACAGAAUCUAAACAAUACAGGAAUACAUCUUUAAAUUAUUAAAAUGGGGCCUGUGAGACUGUGCAAUAUGUAAAGGGACUUCCCAACAUGCCUGAAAACGUUCAAAAACACCAGGACACUGACAGAAGCCUCUAAGAGCAGUGCAUUUAGUUUGGUGGAAUCUAUUUAUUUUUGUAGUUGUUUAAAGAACAAGAGCUCCGCAGAAUGAAGACAAAUAUAUUCAAAAAUACACAAAGGUCUGAACACUCCUAGUCUUCCAAC